rnacentral:lncRNA from 1 species
AGGAGGAGGAGGAGGACCCCCCAGCCCCGCCCCCGCGUCCUCACAGCCUGGCCUGCGCUGCCCCUUGACCUUGGAGGCCUCCCCGCCGACGGGCGCUGUGGUUGCGGUGGCGGCCACCAGGCGGCGCCCGCGGCCCGGCCUCCGAGACCAGGAGGCGAGCAGCCGGCGGAGCGCACCUGCCCUGGCGCUCGUGCACAGGUGGCCGCGGGGCUGUCGGCCGGGCUCCCGCCCCAGCUGGCUGCCCGUGGGGCCUCCGCGCCCCGCCACCACGGAGGGUCAGGGCCGGGCACUGUGGUUCUCGAAGCCUCUGCCGGGCCCUCGGGGUUGGGGUGGGGGGACCGCCCGGGCCCAGGUGGCCCCACACCGCCAGGGUGGACCCUCACCGCCUGCAGGCAGGGGAGCCCGGGCUGCCCUGGGGGCUGGCCCCCUGGGGCUCGGGUGGCUCUGGCCUUGGACAGACCCCCCUGCAGCUGGCUGGUCUCCACCUCCUCCUCCGCCCGCUGGGGGUCCAGGCCGGAGGGUGGAGGGAGAAAGCGGAGGAAAGCUGCAGAGGGAAGGAGCUCACCGUUGUGCCCGCCGGGUCUGGACAGGUGGGGUCACGGAAGGCCGGGGAGGGAGGGGACGGCUGGUCCUCCCCUUCCCUCUGCCUCCCCCUGGUGCUUCUGGGGCAGGACACUGUCAUCAGUGUCCUCCAGAGGCCCCCAGGGCCGUCCCGGGCUGCCAGGGUCCCCACACCCUGGGGUCAGCAGCAGGCAGGCUGGCCCCGGUGAUGCUGUACCAGGCAAAGGUCACCUGUCACCAAGCAAGGCAGGCCUCUGGAGACUGGCUUCAAGCUGCCCACAGCAGCCAGUGGGGGUGGGGGGGACGGCAGCAGCCCCAGCCCCCUCACUUGCUCCCCUGUGCCCUGGUGGUGACCGGGGUACAGCUUGGGGUUGGGGGACCUUGACUCCUGGCCUCCAGUCUGGCCUCUCCAUGGCAGUGGGCUCAGCCCACAGGAAGCCUCCUUGCCACCGCUCAGCCCCGGAGCAAGCAGGCCCUCUUCCCGCCUCCUCCCCUGACGACCCCGACUCCGGCCUUGCCCGCGCCCCGGCUCCAGCCCAUCCACUGCCCUCCAUGCAGCCCCCUCUGCCCUGCCAAGGCCCUGCCCGGGAAGCUCCCCGGGGUCUCUCAGCGCCCCCCCUGCGCCCCGCCCUGCAGCGCACCUGCCGCGGCCUUAGGCCCCUCACGCUGCAGAGGCCUGUAAGCCUGGGCGCUGCUUGGCCCUUGGCUGGGGCCUGA